rnacentral:rRNA from 1 species
GCAAGUCGAGCGCGAAAUUUCCUUCGGGAAUGAGUAGAGCGGCGGACGGGUGAGGAACGCGUAGGAAUCUACCUAGUAGUGGGGGACAACAAUCGGAAACGGUUGCUAAUACCGCAUAAUCCCUACGGGGGAAAGAAGGGGAUCUUCGGACCUUGCGCUACUGGAUGAGCCUGCGUCGGAUUAGCUAGUUGGUGGGGUAAUGGCUCACCAAGGCAACGAACCGUAGCUGGUCUGAGAGGAUGAUC